UACAGAGGGUGCAAGCGUUGCUCGGAAUUAUUGGGCGUAAAGGGUAGGUAGGUGGUCUCAUUUGUCUGGGGUGAAAUCCUUGAGCUUAACUCAAGAAGUGCCCCAGAAACGGUGAGACUAGAGUACUGGAGAGGGUCGUAGAAUUCCUGGUGUAGCGGUGAAAUGCGUAGAGAUCAGGAGGAAUACCAGCGGCGAAGGCGGCGACCUGGACAGUAACUGACACUCAACUACGAAAGCGUGGGGAGCAAACAGG
rnacentral:rRNA from 1 species